rnacentral:rRNA from 1 species
GGCGAACGGGUGAGUAACACGUAGGUGAACUGCCCUUGGGCUGGGGAUAGCCUGUGGAAACACAGGGUAAUACCGAAUGAGGUCCGGAGAUUUUGAUCACCGGAUGAAAGGGGCUAAGGCCUCGCCUGAGGAUGUGCCUGCGGCUGAUUAGCUAGUUGGUGAGGUAAUGGCUCACCAAGGCGACGAUCAGUAGCCGGCCUGAGAGGGUGGACGGCCACACUGGGACUGAGAUACGGCCCAGACUCCUACGGGAGGCAGCAGCUAAGAAUCUUCCGCAAUGGACGAAAGUCUGACGGAGCGACGUCGCGUGGGUGAUGAAGGCGGAAACGUUGUAAAGCCCUUUUAUAGACGAGGAAUAAGCAUGGGAGGGAAUGCCCGUGUGAUGACGGUAGUCUGUGAAUAAGCCCCGGCUAAUUACGUGCCAGCAGCCGCGGUAACACGUAUGGGGCGAGCGUUGUUCGGAAUUAUUGGGCGUAAAGGGUAUGCA